UACAGAGGGUGCAAGCGUUAAUCGGAAUUACUGGGCGUAAAGCGUGCGCAGACGGUUGCGUAAGUCAGAUGUGAAAGCCCCGGGCUCAACCUGGGAAUUGCAUUGGAUACUGGCAGGCUAGAGUGCGGUAGAGGGUAGUGGAAUUCCCGGUGUAGCAGUGAAAUGCGUAGAGAUCGGGAGGAACACCAGUGGCGAAGGCGACUACCUGGACCAGCACUGACACUGAGGCACGAAAGCGUGGGGAGCAAACAGG
rnacentral:rRNA from 1 species